rfam:Pseudomonas fluorescens Pf-5, complete genome.
UCGUAAGUCGGUGCAUGGCACUAGGCCUGCAGCGGCGAGCUUCGUUCGUCCCAUAUGGAUGUGACGAAGUUUCACCAGAAAAAGGAA